UACGAAGGGGGCUAGCGUUGCUCGGAAUCACUGGGCGUAAAGGGUGCGUAGGCGGGUCUUUAAGUCAGGGGUGAAAUCCUGGAGCUCAACUCCAGAACUGCCUUUGAUACUGAAGAUCUUGAGUUCGGGAGAGGUGAGUGGAACUGCGAGUGUAGAGGUGAAAUUCGUAGAUAUUCGCAAGAACACCAGUGGCGAAGGCGGCUCACUGACCCGAAACUGACGCUGAGGCACGAAAGCGUGGGGAGCAAACAGG
rnacentral:rRNA from 1 species